GUCCUUUCGGGGACAUCCGAUAAAAUUGGAACGAUACAGAGAAGAUUAGCAUGGCCCCUGCGCAAGGAUGACACGCACAAAAAAAUUAAAUUUAUAUCU